AAAAUAUGCAUUAUCUACAAAAAAAAAAGAAGUUACUGAUAGAAUAUUAUUUACUUAAGAGUCUGGCAAACAGGAAUUAUCAAUGUGAUUGAUUUGAUUGGCUGUUCAGAGAUUCCAGCGUUCUUGGAUUAGCUGAACCUCUGUCAGUUACUUUCUGAUUGAUAAGGGCGGUACUGUCUUGUUUCCAUGGUACCCGAGGACUCCAACAAAUUGAGCAUGAACGUAAAGUUAUGUUUGGACACGGUGUGGAAAACGUAGUGUUUCAAACAUCUGAAAGCACUUUCCAAACUGUUGUCACCGGGGCGAGACGAUGAAGAAGACGAGCAGUAAAUUAGGCCUGCACCUGCCCCAUCCUGUGGGCAGUGAGACUGGCAAAGCUCAUUUUAUCCCAGCGGUACAGACCCUUGAGGUCACUUUAAAUGUGCAGAGAGAGAUGGAUUCUACCACCUUUGCAUGAAAAGCCAUCUACAACUUGUUCCAUACUUUCCUGUAUGAUUUCCACACUGGAAUCAUGGAAGGGCUCUGAGAUCAAGUGAUUGCUUCCAAAGGCUUCUGUGAAAUGGAGUUCCCAAGAACCCUUGAAAAAUGUCCUGUUUUGAAUACAAUUCUUUAUGCGCUUUUACUCUGUAUGCGUCUUGUUUUCUACUUUUAAAGUAGAUCUUUACUGUUUUUAUGAACUGGACCAGUUGUGCUUUGUUUAUAAGAUAGUUGCAAUCUUCUUUUUAAAGGUUUGUAUUUAUGUUUAACCCAAUGGUAGUCUUUUUCAUAUAAAGUAUACUAAAAACAUUGAUUUGCAUGCAUGUCAAUCUUUGUCUGAUUUAUGUCAAACCUUUUAACCUUGAACAAGACCAAAACA